rnacentral:rRNA from 1 species
UACAGAGGUCUCAAGCGUUGUUCGGAUUCAUUGGGCGUAAAGGGUGCGUAGGUGGCGCUGUAAGUCGGGUGUGAAAUUUCGGAGCUUAACUCCGAAACUGCAUUCGAUACUGCGGUGCUUGAGGACUGGAGAGGAGACUGGAAUUCAUGGUGUAGCAGUGAAAUGCGUAGAGAUCAUGAGGAAGACCAGUGGCGAAGGCGGGUCUCUGGACAGUUCCUGACAUUGAGGCACGAAGGCCAGGGGAGCAAACGGU